rnacentral:lncRNA from 1 species
CUCCUCACUCUGGUCCCGCUCCCUACUCGAGAUGUCCCCGCCCCUUUAGUGCCCUACGGCCUACUCUCCACCUUGACCCCGGCCUUUCCAUCACCAGACCCGCCCCCUUCGCCUCCGUCCAAACCCCUUCCCUGGCCCCACCCCUUUCCCUCGUGGCCACGCCCACCUCGCGUUUGGCCCCUCCCCCUCCACACUUUGCGUUCCGCGGCCCCGGCCCCUUGGUUUCCUAGUCCUGGCUCCAUUCCCCUCUCAGGCCUAGGGCUGGGACCCCUCCCCGCCCCCGGUCUUGGCCCUGCCCCCUUCAACAGACGGUCCGCCCCGGCCCCUCCCCCUCGUCCCGCCCGGCCCUGGCAGGCCCCGCCCCCUGCGGCCUCUACCUUUGACGUCUUCCCCCGGGAGGUGGCGGGGGUCUGCGACCGAAUGCCGGCGGGACUCUGGGUCAGGGCUUCUGGCGGGCCCUGCGGGGGGCAGCGAGGUGACCGUGAACCUGCGGCUCAUGGCGCGGAAAGGAGCCAGGCGGCCGCGGCAAGGUCCGGGAUCGCACAAGUGGCUGCAACCAGGCUCUAGGAGGGAGAAAGAGCGGAUCCCCCAACCCCCUCCGCCCGCCCGCCCCCCGCGAGACGCGGCGCCGCGCAGGGUCCUAGUGCCCGCUGUGCGAAGGGUUCCUGAAUCUGGCCACUUCGCUGGGAGGCCCUGGGCUCCCCAGUGCCACCCGAAGGGCCUGAGGAGGCCAUCUGCAGCACAGUGCCUGGCACAUUAUCGGCACUUGAUGACUGUUGUCUAAUAACUGAGCUUCCAUACAAACCACCUGCCGUCCUGUACUGAAGGAGAAAGAGCUUCCAGCCGGGGAGGCAGGAAAUCUGGGUCCUGGUCUUGGUUGCAUCCCUGACUUCCUAAAUGACCUGGAGAAGGCCUCUGCCUCUGCUGGGAUCUUGUCUGUGCUGGGGCAUUUGUUUCCAUUUCCAAGGGCUUUUUCUUCCUCGCUCAGAAUUUGACCACUCACUAAGAGGAGCUUAGUGUGGUGUCUCACGAAGGGAUCCUCCUCAGCCCUCACCUCGGUACUGGAAGACGUCGUGCGUGUCCAAAGGCACCCCGGGGAACAUCCGGUCCACCUCGCUGGCGCUCCGGGGAUCCACCAUCUGCGCCUUCACGUCGAACCUGCGGGCAGGCGCGGAGGAGACAGGUGCUGAGCCGGCUAGCGGACGGACCGACGGCGCCCGGGCUCCCCCUGCCGGCGGCCGCGGCGGCGCUCACCUCCAGAGGCGCCGCCCGCUGAACAGCAGCAUCUUCCCCCUGCCACUCCGGAGGGCCCCGGUCACCUGGGCCACGUCGGCUCCCAGGCCCAGCUUGUCCAGACGCCUCGGGCCCAGCACCGACGCGCCUGUGUACACCCACACCUGGCGCCCUGCAGGGGAGGAGGGUCACGUCGGUUUGGGGGCGCAGAGGGAGCACGUACUCCUAGAACGCGAGGAGGGAGAUUCCGGCGAGGCCUUUCCUAGCCCGCGUGCCCGCAGUCCCUGCAACCCAGGGGCAGAGGCGCUGGGUAGAGCGACGCGAGGGCGUGGAGAGGAGGGGGCAGAAACUCAGCCGCCCCUACGUUUGCUAAACUGCGUCCGCCAGGGGGCGUAUUUUUCUAAAACGCACAAGACGUUUCGUGGGUUAUCGAUGGUCUCUUGAGCCUCCUUGACUGAUGGGGAUUGACCGGGCGGGGGAGGGAAAGUAGGUAACUAACCAGAGAAGAAGAAAAGCUUCUUGGAGAGCCGCUCCUCAAAGACCGAGUCCAGCUUGCGGGGCAGCGCGGGCCACUUGUCGGCGAUAAGGAAGGGGCCCUGCGGCCGGCUCCCCCUGCCCUCAGAGAAUCGCCAGUACUUCCUGAGAAAGCGAGGAGGGAAAGGACGGGCUCUAAGCCUUGGACACAGGGCCAGUGGGCGGGAAGGGACGGGCAGCCCCUCCGCAAAGCCCCCUCCCGCAUCCACACAACCCCGCCUCCUCACCCAUCCUUGAACAAAUACAGCUGGUUCCCAAUCUCCGCGAUGGCGUCGAAGAUGUUCACGUUGCAGGCAUCGUCCACCGGACUCAAAG